UUGGAUGCCCAGAAGAGACUGCGAGGAUCUCGGGUUCUCUUGGUUGGUUUAGGAGGUCUGGGUGCUGAAGUGGCCAAAAACCUAAUCCUGGCUGGGGUGAAAGGACUCACUAUGUUGGAUCACGAAAAGGAGCGCGCAUUGGGGGCGGAGCUCUGUGCCUUGUUCAGACAGCGGCAACACUUCUGUGUUUUUAGCAAUAUCCAUCCAUCCAUUUCCUACCGCUUGUCCCUUUUGGGGUCGCUGGAGCCUAUCGAUGUGAAUGAUUAUAAAUAUUAUGUAUCCCUACUAACUUUUUUUCUCAUUAAUAAAAUUAAUACAAAUUCUUAA